GGAGUAGAGUCGUAACGGGGUAUAUCAAUAAGCGGAGGAGCGGGAAAUUAAAGUCAAAAACGGGGUAUAUAAAGGCGAGGAAGCCUGGGGGAGGGGGCUCCGGGUGGACACUUCAAACUCUUGCGUAACUUUGCAGUCUGAGUAAACUUAAUUAAUAAAUUAAAACUUUUAACAACGGAUCUCUUGGUUCUGGCAUCGAUGAAGAACGCAGCGAAAUGCGAUAAGUAAUGUGAAUUGCAGAAUUCAGUGAAUCAUCGAAUCUUUGAACGCACAUUGCGCCCCCUGGUAUUCCGGGGGGCAUGCCUGUUCGAGCGUCAUUUCACCACUCAAGCCUCGCUUGGUAUUGGGCAACGCGGUCCGCCGCGUGCCUCAAAUCGACCGGCUGGGUCUUCUGUCCCCUAAGCGUUGUGGAAACUAUUCGCUAAAGGGUGCUCGGGAGGCUACGCCGUAAAACAAACCCAUUUCUAAGGUUGACCUCGGAUCAGGUAGGGAUACCCGCUGAACUUAAGCAUAUCAAUAAGCGGAGGAA
rnacentral:rRNA from 1 species